AAUACGUUCCCGGGUCUUGUACACACCGCCCGUCACACCACGAAAGCCCGCUGCAACAGAAGUGCCCUCUCCGAGGGCCCGAAGUUGUGGUUGGUGAUUGGGGUG
rnacentral:rRNA from 1 species